CGUACACUCCUGCGGGAGGCAGCAGUGGGGAAUAUCGCACAAUGGGCGCAAGCCUGAUGCAGCCAUGCCGCGUGUAUGAAGAAGGCCUUCGGGUUGUAAAGUACUUUCAGCGGGGAGGAAGGCGAUAAGGUUAAUAACCUUGUCGAUUGACGUUACCCGCAGAAGAAGCACCGGCUAACUCCGUGCCAGCAGCCGCGGUAAUACGGAGGGUGCAAGCGUUAAUCGGAAUUACUGGGCGUAAAGCGCACGCAGGCGGUCUGUCAAGUCGGAUGUGAAAUCCCCGGGCUCAACCUGGGAACUGCAUUCGAAACUGGCAGGCUAGAGUCUUGUAGAGGGGGGUAGAAUUCCAGGUGUAGCGGUGAAAUGCGUAGAGAUCUGGAGGAAUACCGGUGGCGAAGGCGGCCCCCUGGACAAAGACUGACGCUCAGGUGCGAAAGCGUGGGGAGCAAACAGGAUUAGAUACCCCGGUAGUCCCA
rnacentral:rRNA from 1 species